rnacentral:tRNA from 1 species
ACAAAAGAAGCAAAUUUGCGUUUAGGUUUCGGCCCUAAAGUUGCCAGUUUCGGCCUUUUGUU